rnacentral:rRNA from 1 species
AUUGAACGCUGGCGGCAGGCCUAACACAUGCAAGUCGAACGAGUGGCGGACGGGAGAGUAAUGUCUGGGACUCUGCCUGAUGGAGGGGGAUAACUACUGGAAACUGUAGCUAAUACCGCAUAGCAGCAGAUGUGCCCAGAUGGGUAUAGCUUGUUGGUGGGGUAACGGCUCACCAAGGCGACGAUCCCUAGCUGGUCUGAGAGGAUGACCAGCCACACUGGAACGGAGACACGGUCCAGACUCCUACGGGAGGCAGCAGUGGGGAAUAUUGCACAAUGGGCGAAAGCCUGAUGCAGCCAUGCCGCGUGUAUGAAGAAGGCCUUCGGGUUGUAAAGUACUUUCAGCGGGGAGGCGUUACCCGCAGAAGAAGCACCGGCUAACUCCGUGCCAGCAGCCGCGGUAAUUC